rnacentral:SRP_RNA from 1 species
GCUGGGCGUGGUGGCAGAUGCCUGUAAUCCCAGCUACUGGGGAGGCUGAGGCAGGAGAAUCGCUUGAACCCGGGAGGCAGAGGUUGCUGUGAGCUGAGAUCGUGCCACUGCACUCCAGCCUGGUGACAGAGUGAGACUCCGUCUCAAAGAAAAAAAAAGAAACGCAGGAGGAGGGCUGAGUGCGAUGGCUCUUUCGCCCAGGCUGGAGUGCAGUGGCGCCAUCUCAGCUCACAGCAACCUCCGCCUCCUGGGUUCAAGCAGUCCUCCCACCUCAG